rnacentral:lncRNA from 1 species
AAUAGUUCAAUAAUCUAAUUGACAAAAUUGAAAGGUGGAUCACCAAAGUGGAAUAUGACAUAUAGUUUAGGAUAGUAAUUUAUAUUUAAGCCAAAUUAAAAUAUCGUUCAAAUAUGUUAUAUAUAAAAUUUACCUAAUAAGUCAUUUUUAAGCUUAAUUGUGUUUUGCACGGAUUAUUAUGCUUGUGUAAAAGUAAAUCUUGAAAAGAUCUACUAGCAUCAUGAAAAU